UCUCGAUAAAGGCAAAGCUAGCGAAAGUUAGUGACGCAAAGCUACAGGGGCUAAGGUGUAUUACAAGUACACUACGCCAGCCAGUUACCGAA
rnacentral:ncRNA from 1 species